CACCUCUUGUUCCAGGUAACUACUUCCUGCCCCUGUGUUUUCCCACCUGUGUGAUGACCUGCCCCGGCCCGAUUAGUUCCACCUGUGUCUAAUCACCCUCCCUCCCUUGUGUAUUUAAUCUUUGUCCUCCCCUUGUCUUUUGCAAGUUUGUUGUCUCUCCUUGUGGGAAGGAGUCCAGCCUGUUUAUUGUGUUUUAGUUUCAUAGUGUGUCAGUAUUAGGAUUUCCUUCUGCCUAUUUUUGGACUCUGAACUAUCUGUGACAGAGGACUACUGGGUCACAGAGCGGAGUCUGUGAAAAUCUCACCACACUUUUAAUGACUUUAAAUGAGAUUCGUAAAACAUGCAGAAAUUUAGAGAGGGAGAAAGAAACAGAGGGAGGGACUGAGAGCGAGAGACGGCGAGGAAGCAGCAACGCCUGCCACCAAGCUGACAGCGAGCAGGCUUGACAUUUGGCCUCUCAUAAUUAGGAAAGUGCCAGAUUCCGUCCCACUAAAUCUCAGCUCAAAAUCAUUAUUCUCGACGGUGUUGACUCUGCAAUGUCCAACCCGCUUAAGCCCUCCUCUGUGCU